rnacentral:rRNA from 1 species
AACGAACGCUGGCGGCAUGCCUAACACAUGCAAGUCGAACGAUCCCUUCGGGGAUAGUGGCGCACGGGUGCGUAACGCGUGGGAACCUGCCCUUAGGUUCGGAAUAACUCAGAGAAAUUUGAGCUAAUACCGGAUAAUGUCUUCGGACCAAAGAUUUAUCGCCUUUGGAUGGGCCCGCGUUGGAUUAGCUAGUUGGUGGGGUAAAGGCCUACCAAGGCGACGAUCCAUAGCUGGUCUGAGAGGAUGAUCAGCCACACUGGGACUGAGGCACGGCCCAGACUCCUACGGGAGGCAGCAGUGGGGAAUAUUGGACAAUGGGCGAAAGCCUGAUCCAGCAAUGCCGCGUGAGUGAUGAAGGCCUUAGGGUUGUAAAGCUCUUUUACCCGGGAUGAUAAUGACAGUACCGGGAGAAUAAGCCCCGGCUAACUCCGUG